rnacentral:rRNA from 1 species
CCAAUAGCGUAUAUUAAAGUUGUUGCAGUUAAAAAGCUCGUAGUUGAAUUUCGAGACCGGUUUACUGGUCGUGCUUUUGUACGUACUGGUAUUAUUGGUUUCUCCUUUCUGACGAAUCAUAAUGCCAUUAAUUUGGUGUUUUGGGGAAUCAGGACUGUUACUUUGAAAAAAUUAGCGUGUUUAAAGCAGGCUCACGCUUGAAUACAUUAGCAUGGAAUAACGAAAUAGGACGUUUGAUUUUAUUUUGUUGGUUUCUAGGAUCGACGUAAUGAUUAAUAGGGAUAGUUGGGGGCAUUAGUAUUCAAUUGUCAGAGGUGAAAUUCUUGGAUUUAUUGAAGACUAACUACUGCGAAAGCAUUUGCCAAGGAUGUUUUCAUUAAUCAAGAACGAAAGUUAGGGGAUCGAAGACGAUCAGAUACCGUCGUAGUCUUAACCAUAAACUAUGCCGACUAGGGAUCGGAUGAUGUUAAUUUUUUAAUGACUCAUUCGGCGCCUUACG